ACUCUGGAGCAGACCCCCCACCCCCCCAGAACCACGCUGACCAGAAGUUUAGUGAACCUGCGGAAGGAUCAUU
rnacentral:rRNA from 1 species